rnacentral:lncRNA from 1 species
UGAAAUGUAAAAAUAUGAAUUUCAAAGAAAUUUCAAAUUUGAAUUUGGAGGCCUCACAAGAGCCCGAGCUCCAAAAGGGAUUUCCGCUAGCCACAACUUCUAGAAACCAGUUCUACCAAAAAGAUCCUUUCCAUGAGAACAAAAUACAUACCCAAUAUUGAUAGAUGUCCAUUUUUGUCACCAUCAGCACACAUAUCUUAAUUCCUUCUUGUAUAAGCUUUUCAAUACAUCCUGGUACCUGAAUAUAAAUGCAUUCACAUGUGCACCAAUGAAAUAUAAAUAAUUAAUAUUUGGUAGCCUGCAUUUGAAUGAAAUGAAGUAGACCAGAAAACAUAACCUUCUCAUAAAAGCAUACCAAUUUCUAGGGCUUGUCUUAGUAGUACCAAAAGCAAGUCACUCUCAAUACUGUAAGCAACCUCCUAAAUAUUUUUUAUCUCUGUCAGCAUUUCUAGGUGGUUUGACAGUCCAACUCAAAAAAAAUAGUUUGACAGUGUAGAAGUAUUCACUAAAGUUCACAUACUCUUUCUCACCCAGACACAUGCAAGAACCAAUUUUCUUAGACUAGAAUCAAAAUACUCAUUUAUUUUCCUUUUAGUCUCUUCCUCAAAUUAUCUUCCAGGUGGUACAAUUGGAGGAAAAAGACUUUCAGUUAGUCUCUUCCUCAAAUUCUUUUCCAGCUACUACGCACGAAGAAGACAGAUAAGGAGGCAUGGGCGGUACAGAAGUUUCGGAUCAUAGGGGACAGUUGAAUCAUCUGACCAAAGAUACCACCGGCUAACCGUUUCUUCAAACAUCUUUAGGCCAUAUUCGAACAUCCCAAAAUAAGAACAACAUAUAAAUAUUUUCAGAUAGAUGGUGGGUCAACUACAUUUUGCAUCACGUAAAUAUCAUGGGCAAAGUGACUAAGAACAGAGGUAGUGGAAGGGGAUUUGUACUACCAAAGUCCCGAUUAAAUUUUGCAGCAACUUAUCCAAUCAUUGUUUGAAUCGUAUGAACUCACACCAAGUUUUACAUUCCAAAAAAACAUAUAGUGAACAUGAACCUGAAGAAUCAAAAUAUCUGCCUAGCUAGGCACUCCACUGAUACAUGUGAGUCGUCAGGUAGCAUAGGCAUGUGGCUGUUGUUCUUCUGCAUCCUCGUGUCGACCUAACCUUAUUGCUGCUCCAGAGCUCCAGUACGUGUGUGCAUGCUCGCCAAGGAGGUCGAAAUUCCCCAUCCCGGGGAGGGCGAGGCAGCGGACUCCU